rnacentral:rRNA from 1 species
UGCCAGCCGCCGCGGUAAUAAGUGGGGAGCCAGCGUUGUCCGGAAUUACUGGGCGUAAAGGGCGUGUAGGCGGGUUGGUAAGUCAGAUGUGAAAGCCCACGGCUCAACCGUGGAGAGUCAUCCGAUACUGCUUACCUUGAGUACGGGAGAGGAAAGUGGAAUUCCGAGUGUAGGGGUGAAAUCCGUAGAUAUUCGGAGGAACACCAGUGGCGAAGGCGGCUUUCUGGACCGAUACUGACGCUGAGACGCGAAAGCGUGGGGAGCAAACCGGAUUAGAUA